rnacentral:tRNA from 1 species
ACUAAAAUAGCAAAAAUAAUGCAUAGGAUUUAGGUUCCUAAGAUGAAAGAAUAUUUCUUUUAGUA